rnacentral:rRNA from 1 species
UUUGAAAUCUGACUUCGGUCUGAGUUGUAAUUUGUAGAGGGUAUUUGGAAAGCGACGUCGGCCUAAGUCCCUUGGAACAGGGCGUCAUAGAGGGUGAGAAUCCCGUAUGUGGCCAUGCGUCAAUUUCAUGUCAAAUCUCUUCGACGAGUCGAGUUGUUUGGGAAUGCAGCUCAAAAUGGGUGGUAAAUUUCAUCUAAAGCUAAAUACCGGCCAGAGACCGAUAGCGCACAAGUAGAGUGAUCGAAAGAUGAAAAGCACUUUGGAAAGAGAGUUAAACAGUACGUGAAAUUGUUGAAAGGGAAGCGCUUGCCAUUAGACCGAUCUUCAGGCAGCAGUUUAGAGGUAACUCUGGAUGUAAAGCACCUGUUCUUCGGCCAGCAUCGGUUUAGGUGGUUUGACAAAAACCAUAAGAACGUAGCUCCUCGGAGUGUUAUAGCUUAUGGUAUAAUGAAGCCUACCUGGACCGAGGACCGCGCUUCGGCUAGGAUGCUGGCGUAAU